rnacentral:rRNA from 1 species
UACCCGCAGCACAAGUGGUGGUCAUUAUUAUUGGGCCUAAAGCGUCCGUAGCUGGCCUGUUAGAUGCCUGGGUAAAUCGAUGCGCUCAACGUAUCGAACUCCGGGUAGACCGGCAGGCUUGGGACCGGGAGAGAUGUGAGCUACUCGAGGGGUAGGGUAAAAUCCUGUAAUCCUUCGGGGAGGACCAGUGGCGAAGGCGUCACAUUAGAACGGCUCCGACAGUGAGGGACGAAGCCCUGGGCGCAAACCGG